AUGAACGCUUGCGGCGUGCCUUAUUCAUGCAAGUCGAGCGAACGGACGAGAAGCUUGCUUCUCUGAUGUUAGCGGCGGACGGGUUAGUAACACGUGGAUAACCUACCUAUAAGACUGGGAUAACUUCGGGAAACCGUAGCUAAUACCGGAUAAUAUUUUGAACCGCAUGGUUCAAAAGUGAAAGACGGUCUUGCUGUCACUUAUAGAUGGAUCCGCGCUGCAUUAGCUAGUUGGUAAGGUAACGGCUUACCAAGGCAACGAUGCAUAGCCGACCUGAGGGGGUGAUCGGCCACACUGGAACUGAGACACGGUCCAGACUCCUACGGGAGGCAGCAGUAGGGAAUCUUCCGCAAUGGGCGAAAGCCUGACGGAGCAACGCCGCGUGAGUGAUGAAGGUCUUCGGAUCGUAAAACUCUGUUAUUAGGGAAGAACAUAUGUGUAAGUAACUGUGCACAUCUUGACGGUACCUAAUCAGAAAGCCACGGCUAACUACGUG
rnacentral:rRNA from 1 species